UGAUAACCUUUUUGCCUAUUUUGCAAUC
rnacentral:piRNA from 1 species